rnacentral:rRNA from 1 species
GAUGAACGCUGGCGGCGUGCCUAAUACAUGCAAGUCGAGCGAACGGACGAGAAGCUUGCUUCUCUGAUGUUAGCGGCGGACGGGUGAGUAACACGUGGAUAACCUACCUAUAAGACUGGGAUAACUUCGGGAAACCGGAGCUAAUACCGGAUAAUAUUUUGAACCGCAUGGUUCAAAAGUGAAAGACGGUCUUGCUGUCACUUAUAGAUGGAUCCGCGCUGCAUUAGCUAGUUGGUAAGGUAAAGGCUUACCAAGGCAACGAUGCAUAGCCGACCUGAGAGGGUGAUCGGCCACACUGGAACUGAGACACGGUCCAGAGUACUACGGGAGGCAGCAGUAGGGUAUCUUCCGCAAUGGGCGAAAGCCUGACGGAGCAACGGCGCGUGAGUGAUGAAGGUCUUCGGAUCGUAAAACUCUGUUAUUAGGGAAGAACAUAUGUGUAAGUAGCUGUGCACACCUUGACGGUACCGGAUCAGAAAGCCACGGCUAACUACGUG